rnacentral:pre_miRNA from 10 species
CCCAAGGGCCGGCGCGGAAAAGGCCACAAUUGCCUCGGUUACCUUGUAUGCCCUCACCGCUCAGCCCCUGGG